ACCUUAUCUAUUAAAUGACUUUGGAUUUAACUGUAGUAAAUACCGUUUUGUUAAGAAAACAGCACUAAACCUACAUAACCUCACUUCUACAUGCAAUGCAGAAAAUGCAAUUUCUCAACACAGACAAAAUGAUGAAUGUCCGGGCGCAACCAAAAAAAAGAAGAAAUCGAGUUAGAAAUUGCGGGAGAUACGCAGAAAUUGGAUGAAUUGUUUCAGACUGAUAAUAAUGUUUAUUUGUCAGGAAGAGAAGACGUAAAAAAUAUGUAUGCAAUUUUGAAGAAAUUAUUAAUAAUGAACCA